AGAGUUUGAUCCUGGCUCAGAUUGAACGCUGGCGGCAUGCCUUACACAUGCAAGUCGAACGGCAGCGCGGGGCAACCUGGCGGCGAGUGGCGAACGGGUGAGUAAUAUAUCGGAACGUGCCCUGGAGUGGGGGAUAACGCAGCGAAAGUUGCGCUAAUACCGCAUACGAUCUAAGGAUGAAAGCAGGGGACCGCAAGGCCUUGUGCUCCUGGGGCGGCCGAUAUCUGAUUAGCUAGUUGGUGGGGUAAAGGCCUACCAAGGCAUCGAUCAGUAGCUGGUCUGAGAGGACGACCAGCCACACUGGAACUGAGACACGGUCCAGACUCCUACGGGAGGCAGCAGUGGGGAAUUUUGGACAAUGGGCGAAAGCCUGAUCCAGCAAUGCCGCGUGAGUGAAGAAGGCCUUCGGGUUGUAAAGCUCUUUUGUCAGGGAAGAAAC
rnacentral:rRNA from 1 species